rnacentral:lncRNA from 1 species
GGAGCAUGGAAUAUAAUGUUGCACUCAACCACCAGCAACUCGACCACCAGCGGUUUGGCAUGAUACUGGGUUUUCAUAAUGAUACUGAAAUACUGUUGACAGAGAUAUCAGGGAUGCUAACUUCAUAUAAUCCUGAGACACAAGAAAAGCUGCACCUCAAUAUUCUUGGCACUAGGUACUCUUUUUAUUUUGGCACUUACAAAGAGAGCCUUGCUUUGCUAGAUAAAGGGGAGUUACUGCCUCCACUUUAUUUAUCAUCUGAUGGGACAGAUGACAAUGAAGAUGAAGAAAAUAAUGCUGAUAAAAUGGAGCCUAAAAGGAAGGAGUUGCUGGUGCAUUUUCUUAAGCAUCAGGAUGUCAUUGCUGUUCUUAGAGCCAGAAUUAUAUGAGUUUGCCCACAUAUUAAAUAGUAAAGAAAUGUUAUAAAUUUCAGGCCAACUUUGGCAUAAAUAUCUGCUUUAUGUCAGUCCAUCUCAAUUUCAUUUAUCAUAAGCUAUGUAUUGUUUGGUCAUCUCAGGUGUUAUGCUUGUUUUUACAACUUUAAUCAAUUUGACUGCUCCUCCAUUCGUUGUUGUAUGUUUGGUCAUUGACCAAAUCAACAUGAAUGUUCAGAAUCAAAAAUCUUAGUCAAUGCAUUUUACUUGAGGUGGGAAAAGCCGUAAACGCAUGACCUUUUAGCUUUGAGAUAUUUCGGUGACACAAAACUAUUUUGAAAGGUUAACAGUUGACAGAUGAACAAGAAGACUGAAGACAUGAAUCGCACCACUAACAAAAAUGGCUCACUAAAGUAAUCAAAAUUCAUUGUUAAUCAAUACUGGAAAUCUUUGUUGAUUAGUCAUAAACUUCUCCAUUAAAGAUGAGAUAAACCCACUACCAAAUUCCUGUGCUUUCAACUUUAAUCUUCUUAAGCUUCAUUCUUAAUUCCAAUAUUUGCUGCAAUAGAACAAGGCAGCAGAUUAUUAGUUUCAUUUGUGUAUCUCUUUAAUACUUAAGUACACAAGUGGUGGAGGUGUCACCAUAAACCAAAACGAAAAAAUAAAAGCAAUUCCCAUAAACCAAACCAAAAAUAUCAAUUUUAUGCUAUGAUCCAAUGAUAAAACCAACAACAGAAACUCAUGCUUCAUCAGCAGUCAGCUUGUUUUUUGCUGUGGGCAUACAGAUAAUACGAGGUCAAAAUAUACUUGCAUUAGCAAACCUCACUAAGUUAACGCCAAUAAGGACAGUAAUUAUCUAAAUUUAACAAAUGCAAUGAUUUCACAAUUUUGAAAGUCAAAGAUUACAGACUACUAUAUGUAUAUCAGCCACAAAAAUAGAAAUUUGCAAUGAUUACUUACAGAUCAGUAAAUAACUGCAGCAGCAUAAGGGAUUUUUGGGAAAGAAAAUCUAGACCAUGGGCACUCACUUUGUAGCUUCAGCAUCUGCAAGAUAGAACAUUCUUAAAAUCAAUUAUAAUCACUGGGAAACGGGUAUAUGAGUUGCGCACUAUAAGAAACUUGAAGUUCAAUUGCCUUCUUCGUGAAUUUGAGCAAUCGAACUUUGAGAAAAGGAAAUAGUUUUGCUUUGCUGCAGAAAAAGAUUCUCAAGCAUCAUCCCCUUUCCAAUUAAAUGAGUUCUACUACUAUUCUAGUAGUACUAGUAGAGAAAAGGAAAUAGUUUUACUUUGUUUCCAAAGUAGAUAAGUCUUCCAUUACCACAACAGACUGAUUCUGCUAGGCUCUAUAAUGCAAGAAGACAAUACAUUAGAUUGCCUCAAAACUGAUCACUACAAAUGAGGUUGAGUGUUUGGAAUAAGGAUAUCUUUUUUUUUUGAUAAGGAAAUUGGGUCUUCAAGCGCUAGAAGGAGGGCUUGGAAUAAGGAUAUCUUAUCUGAAAUAUCUCACGAAUCCCAGGUAUCCAUAAGAAUUUAGCAAUGAAAAGAUAUCCUGACUAGCUCUCCUAAUCCCAGGUAUCCAUAAGAGUUUAGCAAUGAAAAGAUAUCCUGAUUAGCUCUCCUAAGGGCUGUAACAGAAGAAUCCCUCAUCUGAGAACUACUACAGAUCUAUUUUCAGUAAGGAAUUAAAUGAUUUACUUUCUUUUCCUAAUAACAUCUUAAUCUACGAUCUAUGAAUAAGAAAUAGGAGCAAAUCUGAAACGCACUUAAGUGGAGGCUUCUUUGAAGGGGUAAACUGCAGUUUUAGUCCUUGAAAUAUAACCUCAUUACAACUUUGAAUCUCAAUGUUAUUAUGAUCAGACAUAACCUUUAAUGUUUUGACACAUGGGCCAAUUUUGAUAUUUACUAAUGCAAUUAACUACAUUGAACAAAAAUUAAUGAAUCUAGUGGCUUCCACCACCUUCUGCCUCCUCUCCUGCUAAACCAGCAUCAAUCCGCCAGUCUAAGUGUAGUAGUGGAAGAGUAGUUUUAGUGCACGAAAUAUAACCUCGUUACGGCUUUGAGUCUACAUGCUAUUAUGAUCUCCACAUAACCUUUACUUUUUUGACAAAUCGGCCAAUUUUGAUAUUUACUAAUGCAAUUAACAAAAUUGAACAAAAAUUAAUGACAUUAGGCUUCCACAACCUUCUGCCUGCUCUUCUGCUAAACCAAUCCCCUGUACUGCUACUGCUGCUCUUGUUGCUACUUGCCCAAAAAAAAAGUACAUCAACUUCUUGUAAAAUGUAGAGAUAGAUGUUUACUGGUGAAGUGCAAUUUAUGCUCAUAUAAAUGACAAGCACCGAAGGGAUCCUUGGCGUAACUAGUAAAGUUGUUACCAUGUGACUAGGAGGUCAUGAGUUCGAGCUGUGGAAACAACCUCUUGUAGAAAUGCAGGGUAACACUCCACAUGGUAGACCCUUGUGGUCCGGUCCUUCCCCGAACCCCGCGCAUAGCGGGACUUAGUGCACCGUGCUGCCCUUUUUAUAAAUGACAAGCACCGACAAAAGUAGAACUGAACAGAAUAGUAGUUAGCACCAGUUGCCUCAAUUACCUACAGGCGACAAAUCACUUAGUUUGCAAGGUCUACAAUGGGAAGCUGAUGUGAUAAAGCAAGAGGAAAGAACAGAGGGGGGAUACUAAAAAAGGAAAAGGAAAAGAAAACAGGAAGAGAGAGAAUGAAUCAAACUGGAAACCAUAAAAUUUAUGUGUAUGUUCUCACCAAUUGUCGAAGAUUACCAAGUUUUAUUGGACUUGCAGAAUUAUUAUUUUUUGAUUAAGUAAACAGGUAUCCCGCCAAUUGUCGAAGAUUACCUUCUUUUUUUUGUUUUAAUUAAGUAAACAGGUAUCCAUGCUUGCUUUAGGCUUUAACCAUAACCUAGAUAUGUUUUAUAGAUGUUACAUGCUUUGCAUACAAGUGCUCAUGAUUUCUUGAAGCCUAUAUAUUAUUUUCGUUCAAGCUAAUGAAUCCAGUACCCACCGAUCCUUAAUCUUUAAAUGAAUGUUAGAUUUAAUGACUAUAUAGGAGACCUGUGAUGAAUAAGUGCGGCGCUCUAGCUAAGCAACAAUGUCGUGUGAUUCGUCUUAUAUGUUUUCAGCUCACUAGUAUUGUCGUAGAUGAUAUUGACUUCACUUUUUAUUAUUGAUUUGGAUUCACUAUUUUACAACCUAUCACAAAUUAGAUGAACCAUGCAUAGUCUCACGUUCCAAUUCAUACGACCAUCGUGGAAUAAAUAGCACAAUGAAUCAGCUAAUACGAGCGAAAAUAAUAGAAAUAACAAGGCUUAUGUUUGAGGGACAUAUUGAACAACUAUUAAUGGUUUAAAUGAUAAGAUUAUCAUUGUUUUGCCUUUAAGAUAAUAAAUUACCACUUAAGAGGUUGUGUUUGUAUAAUCAUGAAAGUAGAUACUUAUUAAGAAAUUCUUCCAGAAGAUCGUAAAUUUAAGUUCUAAAUACCAAAAAUAGACUUCUCCUCAUUUGUUUUCUAGGCAAAUGGACAUUCUCAAUAUAAAUAUAGAGUCUCUUUCAUAUAACAUAUACCCCUAUAACCAAUUUUAAACUAUGGAUAUGCUUGUACAUAUUUACAGAAGUAUUGCGUUUGAAAUCCGACGUUAUUAUUCAGUUCUCUGCCUAAAAUUUUUCACUUUAUCAAAAAGAGACACGUUACUUUUCGUACUACUUUGCCUAUGGGAAUAUUUGAAACACAAUAUUCUAAUGCCAUGGUAUUCCUUGCUUAUUGACAUGAGAUUUGUUCAGCCGAAUUUGCCAAGGGCAUUGACACGUAAAAUAUGAAAGGGUUUGUUAAACUAUCAAUCACAGUCUCUGGUAUGUGGUUGCUGGGGAGCUAUUUGCACUUGGAUUGACGACGUUACACGGACUCAUUCACAGAUACGUAUUACUCCUGUUGUUUCAUUUUAUAUGAAUCUCUUUUCUUUUUAGCCCGUUCCAAGAAGAUUGGCACAUCUAUAUUUUGGAAAUUAUAUACUUUUAACUUUCCUAUUUUACCUUUAAUAAAAUACUCUUCUAGAAAUGACAAGGCAUCUAUAUACAUUUAACUUAUGUCAUAAAAGUCUUUUAUUCUUUUUAAACCUUGUGCCUAGUCAAAUAUCCACUAUGGGUUCGUGAAGUAUUUUGCUAAUUUUUAGGGUAUUAUAAUUACCCCCAUGAAACCCACACCCGUGUCAUGCUACUGAGGUGUCCUUUUUCCUAUAAAUAAAUAAAUAAAUAAGUUAUUUUAGAAGACAAAUACCCCUAAAUGGGUUCACUUGUUUUCAAGAAAUGUGCAAAAACCUAUUGUAGUUGACAUUGCUGAAGUGUUGGCCAGCGGUUAAGGGGGUGCAAAAGUGACCUUUGGUUACAGGUUCAAUCCUUGCACACAACAUUUCCCACUCUUUGUAUUGCAUUCUAACUUACAAAGUUCACACUAUUUCCUUAUCACUUGGUUCGCUUUCUUCUGGUACUAUCAGCUCUCUUGCAUUAUCCUCAUAGGACGCCAAGAGAAGGCUAAAUGCUGACCAAAUUCCUUUUCUGCCAAUAUGGAUCUGAUAUCAGCUAGAAGCCACAACUUGACUAUAGGAUAUUACUCUUGUUUGGAGGAUGUGGGGAUAUUGAGUUUGUUAUGGUGCAUAAGGAGAAAGCGUGCCCGCUGAUCUCUGAUGAAAUGAUGAUAGAGAUGUUGCACUGGCUGUAAUCAAUAUCCUUUCUUUUUUCCUUUUUUUAGAUAAGUAAUCAAAGAUUUUAUAAAUGCUUGCACUAAGGCAGUGCUAGAAAACAUAACUACAAAUUGUGCAAAAUCAAUAUCCUUUAUUUGAGUGUUAAUUUCCUUAUUUGUUUAUUACAACUCGUACAUUUGCUAUAACAAUGAAACUCCUAAAAGUUUACAUUACAUAUCAAAGAAAGCACAAAAACCUCUAAAAUUGCAUGUACACACCUACAGGACUAACCUUGAUACCUCAUAUUAUUCAUAUAUUAUUUAUUAAUAUUAAAUCACACACAUAGCCAAAUCUGGUAUAAGAAAGAAGCAAGCCGUUACUGGCAACAUACAACAAAUGCUUUAGUUGUAAUCAGUAUCAUUUACUUGAUGGUUAUCACUAUAUCAGAUUUAUCUUGCGAGCUGAUAGAGAAGAGCAAACUAUGGGUUAAGACUUGUUUUACUUUGAGUUUUGGUUGAUUCUCACUCUCAAGGAACUCUGCUCUACAGUACUUUCCUCUUCUGUAGAAGUUAAGUUUUAUGGAUAUGAUGGGACUAAACCUCGUAUACAAUCAAGAAGACCAAAAUUAGAGAAUCUUAAAAUUUGUCAGUUCAUGAUGAAUCUUUGUAAUACAUAUACUGACGAUGUUACGAUAGAAUGAACUGAGCUUAAAUGGAAAAAUGAGGAAUCAUAUAGCCAACUCCAAUCUGUUUGGGAUUGAAGCAGAGUUGUUUUUGCUUUCAAAGAUCCACCCAACAAAAAGGCACCAAAUCAAAAUUAGCAGAAGCAAAUAUAUUAAAACCUUAAAAAAAGCUUUCCUUUUUCUGUUUUAUUAGCCUUUAAAAUUUACAUAAUCAGAACUAGACAGCUUGAUAGAUUUUCUCAGUUCAUUGUGCAGAAAAGGAACUGAGCUUUUGCUUUUUGUAAUGCACAUUUAAUUGCACCUGUUUUGUGCCAUUUUUAUAAUAAAAUAUUACCUUACUUGAUGAAAGAAAACCUUUGAACAUUCACAACUGGACAAAUAUGAAUUAGGGAAACUUAUUAGCAAAUAAAGCAGAUCUACUUUUUCAAUUUUGGGAUCAAACGUGUAAUGAUGUUGAAGGCUACGAGAAUUAACAAAUUUAGAAGCAAAGAGCGUACCGAUGAUUCAGUGCUAUAAAUUGGAGAAGUCGUGAAAGGGAGAAUUUCGGAGAAGAGCGACAAUGAUUUGUGGCGGUGAGACCAUUUCUUGAGAAUAGGGGAACGCUGCAGCUGUCCAUCGUACCUGUUUAGGCGGACAAAGUUGUUUUUAAGCUACGGGUAACAAGGGCAAGGCAGAUUUUUAUCGCAGACUUGUAUCAUUUGAGGAUGCCAUCGGAAUGCUAGAAGCAUAGAAGUGUACAAAAGUUUCCUACGGGACUGGAGC